UGAUCCAGCCAUGCCGCGUGCAGGAUGACGGUCCUAUGGAUUGUAAACUGCUUUUAUACGAGAAGAAACACUCCUUCGUGAAGGAGCUUGACGGUAUCGUAAGAAUAAGGAUCGGCUAACUCCGUGCCAGCAGCCGCGGUAAUACGGAGGAUCCAAGCGUUAUCCGGAAUCAUUGGGUUUAAAGGGUCCGUAGGCGGUUUAAUAAGUCAGUGGUGAAAGCCCAUCGCUCAACGGUGGAACGGCCAUUGAUACUGUUAAACUUGAAUUAUUAGGAAGUAACUAGAAUAUGUAGUGUAGCGGUGAAAUGCUUAGAGAUUACAUGGAAUACCAAUCGCGAAGGCAGGUUACUACUAAUUGAUUGACGCUGAUGGACGAAAGCGUGGGUAGCGAACAGGGUUAGAUACCCUGGUAGUCCACGCCGUAAACGAUGGAUACUAGCUGUUGGGAGCGAUCUCAGUGGCUAAGCGAAAGUGAUAAGUAUCCCACCUGGGGAGUACGUUCGCAAGAAUGAAACUCAAAGGAAUUGACGG
rnacentral:rRNA from 1 species